UUUUUUAAUUAUUGAUUUGUUUGCAGAUAAAAAUGACGAAUGCUCAAACAGUGAAAAUGGCACCUUCCCUUCUCUCGCAGAACAAGAGAGUCGUCUGAGCGGCGUCGACGACGCUGUGCACCAUCUCACCGUACACCAAGUAGUCGCACAAAGAUUUCCAGAUUUACGUCUCAAUGCUGAGCCGGUGGCACUGCCAGAAGAGAUACGUUCCCCGCCACGUGCGUCCUGUUACGACAAUGUACACGAUCUGAGACCGCUGUCUGAACAAGCUAGCGAUGAUGGCACAGUAUUCUCGGAGCCAUGGGAUAGCACACA
rnacentral:lncRNA from 1 species